rnacentral:rRNA from 1 species
UACAGAGGGUGCAAACGUUGCUCGGAAUUAUUGGGCGUAAAGCGCGUGUAGGCGGCAUAUUAGGCCGGCUGUGAAAUCCCAUGGCUCAACCAUGGAAGUGCGGUCGGAACCGAUAAGCUAGAGUGCUGACGAGGAUGGCGGAAUUCCCAGUGUAGAGGUGAAAUUCGUAGAUAUUGGGAGGAACACCGGUGGCGAAGGCGGCCAUCUGGGAAGCAACUGACGCUGAGACGCGAAAGCGUGGGGAUCAAACAGG